UUAUAAUAUGUCUGAGGAAAAUGUUGAAAUUCCCAAUGGCCUCAUCUAUUUCCUCUGUCAUUACGUCUUUGCAUUUACUGCAUUAUGUUACCCACUUGCUGGCUUAAUAAAUUGUUAGCCUCUGUGGCUUCUAGAUGACGACAGCAACGUUAAUAUUGCCAGCGCUUAAGAGAGUCUGAAGAGCGUCGGUAG